UCAUUUUCAAGAUGGAAAGGUAGCCUCUCAACUGCUGGAUCGCGAUACUGAAGAUCAAACUGAAAUAUCCUCCAGCAUGCUUCUGAUGUUGAUGUGUAUCUCAUCUCUAGGUAUUUCUUGAUCUCGUCAGUUUCGUUUGCCGUGCCACUUUCCUUGAGCAAGGUUGUAACAUGGUCGUCAUCUUUAUGGAUAUACUUAAAUAGGUACUUGAUUGAUCUGGACCUAUUGCACCACUCAACAUUUAUGUGAGCUUGAUACUUGACCAGAAGGUUCCGGUUGUAUGGCACGACAAAUCUGUUGUCGAGCAUCACCCCUCCCUUUUUGAUCUGCCUUCCAUCAUCCCUCCUUUUAUAUACUGGAAAUCCGUCCUCGUCAAUGGUAGUGCUAACAUUGUAUCUUUUUGGGAAAUGCUUGGUGCAUCUAUGGUCCACCAUGCAUGGUGAGUUUUUCUUAGCCUCUCCGCACGGGCCAUGCAUCAUGAAGUUCUCAACAGCUUCAAAUGCCUCUGGAUCCUCAUCCUUGUUUGGGAUUUCAGCGCUUAUUAUUUUGUCGAUUUGCGAUGGUUCCGGGUACUUGUCUUUGUCCUUCAAAAAUAUUAGUAUGUGCGCAUGCGGGAGUCCUCUCUUCUGGAAUUCUAUUGUGUAGAUGACUGCAAUUGAUUAAUAGUUUGUCAGAUUUAGCUUAAAUUGGAAUGCAUGUUACUAAAGAGCUAGAAUCUGACGGAGUAUAAGAUGAUGCAUGUUUCUAAAGAGCAACAGUCUGACGGACUAUAAGAUGAUGCAAGAAAGAGUAAAGAUUGAUAGUCAAUGGGACUUACUUGCAACUAUUUCUCCAAAGUAUUUCUUUUCUUUUAUGUCUCUCAUUAGCUCCUUUAGUUUGAUCAUAAAUACUCUGUCCACAAUGUCUGGCCGAUCGGCUGGCUUUUGGCCACCUCCCGCUUCAUCUAGCAUGUAUUGGAUCUCAGGCCACUUUGCAUUGCAUGUGAAUGUUAUAAAUAGGUCUGGGUAUCCAGCCCAACGGCAUAUUGCAAAGGCAUCUUGCAAAUAUUGUGCCUUGUUUCUUCUACCACCUGUAAAAGAUGAAGGCACAAUUAUCCUCUUUCCAACUUGCUCUGUUCUUGUGUCCCCUCGCUCAAUCGCAUCCUGCAAUCCACUGUAAAGUUCAGUUCGUAGCUUUCCUUGAUUGUGUCGGAUCCAGUUUAGUCUAUUUUGCUCGAUACAUGUGUAUACAUCCACCCAAAAUUGCAGUGACAAAUGCCCGGACUUGAGUAGUAACAUUCCUUGAUCAGGACGUUGCUAUAGGUAGAAUGCAUAGUAGUCCAACAACGUUACGUAUUUCCUGCUGUUUGUACCUCCUUUUGUUUUCUUGUAGGGUAUCUCAAGUUUAAAACCAUCUUCUCCAUAUGGGAACAACAACGGAUAUUGCAUGGACAUGAAUUUCGGGUGGAUCUCUGAUAUCCUUUGCAGCUCCAUAUUUUUGUACUCAACAACAAUGUCACGUCCUUCACUCUCUCUGGUUGGAUCUCUUACUACCAAUGCUGCAACUUCAGAUGCGGAUGGAAGGUUGUGUGUUCCAUUCCUUUUGCCUAGUAUCCGAAGUGUGUAAUCAUGGUAGUCUCCUUCUUGGAAUCUAUCUCUUGCCAUUCUGAAGGUUUUUGCGAGGAUGUUGUUGUCGUCGAGCAUUAUUUUCAGUUCUUUGACGAUGUUGGGGUCCACUGUUGAUUUUUUAUCAUUGCAUCUUGACGCACUUAUCCUGUUUUCCACCUCAUUUUUGGUAUUACAGAUGUAUAGCUGUGCAAACCGAGGUUUGUCUGUACCUUGAGGCAAAAGAGUUCCGAUAUGGUGGUAGUUUUGUCCAUGCAAACGAAAAACAUAAGGUCCUUUGCGAGUGUUUAUUUCCUUGUCCACAGCUCCUCCCAUCGAUGUGAAUGAAAACAUUGAGUUGUAUGACCUUAUAUUUUCUUUGAAGUUUACCGAAUCCUGCCCUUCACUUCUUAAGAGGUUUCUAAGGUAUGGUGGAGGUUCUCUUAGUGGCGGCAGAUCGAUUUUCCCUUGUUUGCAGCAUAUUCCAAAAGAGGGUGCCGUAGUUCCUUUGUUUGAAUUUAAUCUUUCUUCACACCAUAGCAAUGCUUUGCAAUAUUGGCAUUUGUAUGUUGGCCUUCCGAAGUUCCAUGGCUUGCUAUUAGAACUUGUCGAGGUUCUGGUUCUGUUGUUGUCUCCAACAUUGACUCUAGUGUUGUUUUUGUUGGUUUCGCUUUUGGCGCGCUUCAAUUCCCUAUCUUCUUCAGCAUUAGCCUUUCUCAAUCAUUUAGGAGCCUCUUGUCCAGACCCCGACUCGAUGACACAUCGAUCUAGCCUAUAACACCUCAUAUCACUUUGCGGCCUCACGCACGGUAUCCCCACGGGUGUCGCCUUACCUUUGCCCGGGACCGUUUGCGCCUUUUGGCUCACGUAUAUGAUAGUGUUGCUAGCAUCCAUAUGUUAAGGAGCCCGGGCUGACAUGACUAGUUGUAAACCCAAAGUGGCACAGACUUACAGGGACAUGCAUCCAUGACCCAGCUUCGAACGUGUUGGUCAUCAGCAAGAGGGUCCGGGCUGUAGCACUGGGCUAGCAGGACUCCGGUAAACCGGGCUGUAGCGGGCUAACAGGACUCCGGUACUCAAUGCGUGACAUUUCCCCGAAGGGACAGACACCGGAACGAAGGACACAUGCCGGCCAGCCUAAGUGUUCCAGAGCAGUAGCAAGCUGCCAUGGCUCAGUGGUAACACUAGGAGACAUUUCCUGGUAAGAGAGGCUACUAAAGAUAAACAACUAGAUAGUCAGAUCCCACACAUACCAAGCAUUUCAAUAACAUACACAUAGUAUGCUCGAUAUGUGCAAAUACAACAUGGCAUCACAACAUGACUCUACGACACAAGUACUUUAUUUAAGGCUCAGGGAACCAUACAUAAUCAUACACACAGGUACGGGUCACACGACCCAGCAUUCAAGUCAUACAGUCAUACAAACCAGCAGCGGAAGUAACUUGUCUGAGUACAGACAACUAGUAAAAUAAAAGAGGCUUGGAAAGCCUAGCUAUACUACGUGGUCCUUCACAAGCUCAGGAUCACCACCUGGGCCUUAGCCUACUCAUUGAUGUCAACGUCUAUGUAGAACCCAUCAGAAGGGGUUGCAGCGUCUUCUGUAAAAAAUGUAAAUUAUAGCAACAUGAGUACAAAGGUACUCAGCAAGACUUACAUCAGAUCCUACAUACAUGCAUAUUAUCAAGAAGGGUUGGUGGAGUUGUUGCAGCAAGCCAGCUUUGACUCUUGGCUAGGCUAACCUACGAGACUCCAACUUGAAAUGGUUUUGCGUACACGAGUCCACUACUCACCAAUUCAAUACACUACCGAGGAUCCACCUCCAUCUUCCUACGGAAGAGCCAUCCUCGGCACUCACACUUAUCUUGAGGCUUUUAGUAGUUUCCGUUUACUUGUCUAUGAACUGUAUAGGCAACCAAGUAGUCCUUUACCGCGGACGCGGCUAUUCGAAUAGAUCAUGAUAACCCUGCAGGGGUGUACUUCUUCAUACAUGUUUCCACCACUUAGCGUCUGCACACAACAUGUGCUCGGCAGACUUCAAGCGAAAGCCGACGUGGGUGUAGACCACGACCUACCUAAACACCUAAGCCUCUAGUCCAGGUUUAUCGCCUAUCCAGGUUCCAUCGGCAGGGAGUCCGGCCGAGGUUUCCCAUACGGCCCCGAACGAUGUGAACAGGGUUCCCGAGAUACCUAACAGGUAUUUGGUACACCCGGCCACGUACCUACCGCAUCACAGCCCACCCCUACGGUCAGCGCUGUCCACGGCCUCCAGUAGGCUACAAACACCAGAAACUACUUGCAACUCCUGGACAGAGAUCUAGGGUGAAUAAGAAGUCGAGCGGGGUCAUAUUUCAGGGCCCAAUGCAUGGUAGUAGCUGUAUCUUAAAUCACACAUACAGAUCUCAGUGCUUAAGGUCGGCUUCAAUGAAACAACCCACCAUGUACUCCUACAUGGCCUCUCAUCGAUACCUUUACCAAAUCGUGUUCACCACACCACUCUCAUUACCGACAUAAUCAUUUCACUCUAGCCCAUCACCCAGAUGAACCAGACCUGACAUGACUCUAAGCAUAGCAGGCAUAGCAAGGUAGGAACAACACAUACAUAUGGCUCACUCAACUCCUACACAUGCUAGUGGGUUUCAUCUAGUUACUGUGGCAAUGACAGGUCAUGCAGAGGAAAUGGGUUCAACUACCGUAGCACACAACAGUUUGAAACGCGUUGUCUUAAUGCAGUAAAAGAGAGCAGGAGGGAGAACAUGGGAUUGUAUCGAUAUGAUCAAAUGGUUGGUUGCUUGCCUGAUGGUUCGAUGCACUGAUACGGUUCUUCGUUAGGGUAAUCACGGUACUCCUCGGAGGCAGAACCUGCCGCAAAGAACACCGAUACACAACCAUCACCAAACAAUGUGCAACAAUAUGAUGCAUGCAUGAAACAUAGCAAUAUGAGUGUGUUGGGCUAAUGCAACUAAGACCAGAAGGGUUUGAACCAAUUUGAAUCAAAGAUUCAAAUUUCAAACUCAAACAUGGCCCUUUAAAGUGUUUUUCCUUGUUCUGCAUUAAACAUCAGGUUAACUUGUUUAAUCAUGCAUGAAAAUAGUACAGAUGGAUAGAUUGGAUUUUUUCUGAUCAUUUUUCAUAUAUAAUUUGUCUGAUUUGGAGUUACAGAAUAAAAGUUAUGAAUUUUUAAAGUUUAAACUAUAUUCUAGAAUUUCCUAUAUUAGAUUAAUUCCAGAAAAUCAAUUAUUGCGUCAGCCUGACGUCAGUGUGACGUUAGCAGGUCAACGGGACACGUCCGGGUCAAACCUGACAGUGGGUCCCGCGUGUCAGUGUGAUUAGAUUAAUUAAAGUUUAAUUAAAACUAAACCUGUUUAAUUAACAGGGCUGGGCCCCACCUGUCAUAGACUCAGGGGAGUCAACCAGGGCCCACCCGUGGUCAAACCCGGGUCGGCUGCAUCGGCGUUUAGCCGCCGGCGAGCCCGACGCGGCGGCGGAAGUGGUUUUGGCUGUUUCGGCCACCAAAUGGGUCGCGGAGACCACCGGAGUGGAGCUGAGGACGAGCCGCAACUCUUGGUGGAGUCCGUUGGGGUCGGGGUGGCCGGAGUUGGCGCCGGCGACGACUUUGGCAGCCACCGGGGUUCGGCCAAAGACGAACUUGACGCUAGAGGGGUCGGUGAGGCGCGGGGAGUAGCUAGCUAGGUGCUACGUGACGCGGUGAGCAUGAUGGACACCGUGGAGUGGUCGGAGGGUGACCGGGAGCACGUCGGCGACGAGCUCCACGGUGGUGGGUGCGGUUGAGCUCCGGGAGGUCGCUACACAGCUCGGGAGCAAGAAAAGGAGGGGGGAAGAUGGCUAAGCUCACAGUGAGUGCGACGAAGCCCUUGCUGCGGCCGGGGAUGGACCGGAGCGACGACGGCAUCGAAGGGGAUCUCCGGCGACGGCGGUUUGGGCGAGGUCGUUGCGGUGGACUCGGGCGUUGCGAGCGCUCGGGGCUCGGCUUGCUCGAUGAAGUGGACAGCGGCGGAGCUCCUGGACACGAUGAGAGGACGCACGGGCGGCGGGGAGCACGGCUACGAUGUAGGCACGGCGGUGGUGGCGUCGGUCAUGGCGGGGGAGCGCGAGGGGGAGGAGCUGGAGAGGAGAGGGGGUGUCUGGGGGGUUCGGGGGAGAGAGGGAGGCUGAUCCACGACGUCACCGGGCGAGGGGAGCGGCGAGGCGGCGAGCAGGUGCGUGGCGCGCGCUGCGGUCGCCGUCGGGCACCUGCCUGCCUGCCUGGCCGGCAAGCAGCUCGCUGGAGCGGCGCUGGGCUGGGCCGGUAGGUGGGCCGGGAGCUGGCGUCGGGUAAGUUUUUCCAUUUUUUCUGUUUUUUGUAUUUUUUAAUACUUCUACAACUUUGUUGAAUUAAAUAAAAUACUUAGGCAACUCCUAAAAUCACCAAACUACUCCUGGUCCAUAGUUGGAUUAUUUCCAACAUGAAACAUUUUAGUUUGGAGAUAUUUGAGCAUUUAAAUAUUUUAUAUAAUUUUAAAUGCCCAAAUUCAAAUAUUUAUGAUUUAAUUCAAAAACCCUAAGAUGGCCUAGGAAAAUGUGCAUCACUUUUGGCAGAGGUUCUGAACCAAGACAAAAAUGAUGGGCAUUUUAGAAGGGCAUUUCAGGUUCAUUGAAAAAGUUUUUAGUAAACCCUAAUUGGUUUCAGAGGGGACUGGGGUUCUGUCAUCCCCAUUUCAGGUUUCUGAUGAAAGAAUAAACAUGAUGCAACACUCUAAUGCAUGAACUAGCUAGGGUGUGACAUGUGUACGCAUUUCUUCUUCCCUCUGCAGUCCUUGUCCGUUUUGUACUCCUUGAGUUUAGAGGUUGUUCUUUCUUUCUUUUUGUCUGGUGAGCUGCUGGGUCUAACGUAUGUUGGACUCUCAUAUCUGCAAAUGUGAUUUUGUUAGUGCGUAUAGUUUCCUUAACAUAGUAUCAUGUAAUAUGAUUUAUUUUGUAAUCCCUCCGUAAAGAAAUAUAAGAGCGUUUAGAUUACUAAAGUAGUGAUCUAAACACUCUUAUAUCUCUAUAGAGAGAGUACUUAAUAGUGUUUUGCUUUUGCAGGCAUGCAAGUGCAUUUGGUGAUGACUACUAAUGGACGUUGUCACAUACAGUACAUCUGGAGAUUAAUGUUGUUUAUCUGGUAGGGAACUAAAAAUCAAUAAUUGUUCAACCAUGUUGCUCUUUUUGUAGCUUUCACAUUAUUAUCAUGGUAGUGUUAGGAUGCAUGAAAAAAGAGCUUUAUAGUUCAGUAUGAGAAGAGUUUUGACGCAAUGUUGAGCUGAGAUCAAAAUGCAGGCACACACAUGAAGAAUUGCAUCGGGAUAUUACCUGAGGCCGAUGGUGCUGAUGUUGUGUCUUCAGUUCAUUGGACGUUUCUUUGUGCCUGUGAUCGUUUGGGUGUCGUCGGCGUAUAUUGGAUGCAAGUUGCUGGAGUUGUUGCCAUACCUUCAAUUUGUCAGCCGUCUCGUGUGUUUGAUCUUCCCGACAUCAUGAAAAAGUAGCUAUUGAGAAAGUACAUCAUGGGUCAUUUAUGAAUGUAUGUCUUGUAAAAUUAUGGUUGAAUGAUGUUUAUGUGAUAUAAGCAGAGGGAUGAGUGUAUGUGACCAUACCUCUUGUUUGUUUUCUGAGACUAUGAUCUAGCAAUUUGACUAAUGUAGAUCACCUGAGGAGAAAGUUUUUGUGAGAAUAUGUUGGCUGAUAAGGAAGCUAAAAUAAUGCACGGAUUAAAGAGAGAAAAUAUAUAAUACCCUGGAACCUUUGCCUGCUUAGUCGUCGAGUUGCUUCGAAUUUGAGAAGACGGAUCAGUCGGCGAUGAGGCUUGUUGUGCUAGUAGGACGUGAUAUGAUGCACUUUAUAUAAUGAUAUGGUUAGAUGUUUUCCAAGACAUGUAGGAUUAGGAAUCAUGUAGUGAGUCAAAAUGUAGUGAGUCAAAAUCGGAC
rnacentral:lncRNA from 1 species